CAGGUUUCAAGGUUGCUUUCAAUCAGCACGCAGGCUGGAGCGCGCGAGGAAGCAGUGGUGCUUUUCUUUAUGCAAACCUUCACCAUGCAGAACAUUUCUCAUGUGAAUCUUCAUCAGUGAGGAAAAAAACUGAACCUCAGGCUCAAAAGAGUUUAAUAUCUGUUCAUCCCUCUGAUGGGAGGAUUGAUAUUUCAGCUGUUGAUGGAAGCAAGGUUUUUACUCCUGUUAUUCACAGCAGCACAGGAACACUGACUAUCAACUAUAUCUGUAAGAAUGAGGGCUGGAGUGGGAGAUAUGAUAAAAAAUCCUGAUUCUUAAAGGCGUUUCUACGAUGCACUGUAUGUACAGUAUAUAUUGUGUAUUGAUAUGAUGUAAAGAUGGAGUAAAGAUGGCCGUGAGAUCAGUCUGGUGUCUGUGUGGUUAAAUCUGAGAGUGAGUCAGGCAUGUGGCUCUCUGAUGAGUUUAUUUAUUUAGACUAACUGAAAAGUUUAGCUUUGUAAUAACUGGUAAUAAUUAACACGCGGGAAACGUGAAUGGUCGCACACACUUAACUUAAAAGCAUUAAAUGGGCAUAGUACCCCCUCUAGUGGCCAUAACCAGAACUGCUAGAACAACACACGUGUUACUCCAUCUACUACAAGCUUAGAGAUAGACAGAAGAUGGACAGCCUGCUGUUUGACUGACUGUUACAGUGAUCCAGACAAGAUGGACAAGAUGGUUAAAUGCUUCUGAGGGAAAAGAUUUGAUCCAGACUGAGGACGCAUCAGACUUUACAAAGCAAAGCCGGAGAACCUUGCUUUCACACCAGGCUGGGACAGACGUGCAGGAGGGCCAACAGAUUAUGCUCAGGCACAAACAGCAUUAAAUGCAGACUUUGUGCCUCAGGUAAACACUGCAUGUGUAAGACAGACAUUUUAUGAGCUAAAACAGAAAACAGGGAAGACUGUGCAACAAUUUGUCACAUGUUUAAGGCAAGCAGCCAAGGGUUGUGACUUUGGAGCUGAGAAAGACAGUCA